AUAAACCCACGCAUCACAUGUUGCCAGCUGAAACCCUGGGGGAGCUGGGAGCCCCUGUUAUUCCAAAAUGAUCGGUAGGACUGUCACUUUCCUUGCCAAAUGCUUUAAACCAGUGUCCCACCUGAGAGCUUUUAGGGAAGUUGCACUUUAUUUGCUGUAUUUGGGUAACAAUGACAAGGAAAAUGUCAACAAGCGCAUUUCACUUUUUAUAUUUUUUCCUCUUCUGUGGUGAUAUCAGACAGCGGCAAGUGAAGGUGUUCCCUCGUGCCUCUAGUAGAUGGAACAAACAGGAGCCAUACAUUAUCCUGUGUUCACUGCUACCAAUCUUAAAACUCUUGAAUUAUUAACAACCCCGGCUCUAGAAAGAUAAUGGAACUCUAACUGUAUUUGUAGUGACAAUAACCUAGAGCAAUACCAGAUGCUGACUUGUACUCACAGAAGUAGUAAGCUUUUGAGCUUGAUCAUUUGAAUUUGAGAACCAUUUGCAUUUGGACAUGCUGACCUACUUGCCCUGGUGCUUAGGAAAACUAUGUGUGAAGGGUCAGGAUGCAUAUCACUCAGCUCUAUUUGGAUCUACAUAAAACCACUUUCUAACAUUUUUAAUAAUCCUGUGUAUAACUCUGAUAAAUCCAGCCUGAACUCUAGCUCCCACAUCUUGCACUGUAGAUUUUGGCAAUGUUCACCUUGAGCUGUUCCAGUUGCCCGGAGGUCUUGUGCACCCAGAGAUUCCAUGGAGAACGUGGACAGGUCAGACUUGUCCUUUCCAUUUAUUUGCUGGAGACUGAGCCUUGAAGUCCAAAGGAAGACCAAGUUCUUCUGGUACCGAAGGAGAAAGGUCUCGCACUUUGCUCAUUCCUGUUCAUUCCUUGCCAUGAUCCCGAGCCUCCCUUCGCCCUUUCUGGACAAAAGGCUCUGGCCAUUGCCUGCAGGCAAGGUAGGCUGAGGCAGUUCAAUCACCUGGAAAACGCUGUGAUCUGAAUUCAGCUGUCAAGGCUCCCAUCAGCAGACAAGCACCAGAUGGGCCUCAGGCAAGCAACGGUUGAACGUGUUUGGGAGUUAGAGAAGCAACAGAGAUCAAAAAGAAAAUCAAGGUCCUCCUCUUUCACAGCAGCAAGUAGUUUUUUGGCUUGCUCUAGAAGAGAAUUUCAGCUCAGUCUGGCAUUUCAUUUAUGUCUGUAACAAUCUUGAUUUUAACAAGAUGCUGAUGGGUGGUUUAUAAAUAAAUGUAUAGAUAACUUAUUUAUAGCUUUGACAAGGAAAUGUAUAAAUUAGUAUAACUAGAUAAAAAUGUGCUUUUUUUUGUUGAGCUCUUGCGUAGUUGUAUAAUAGUCUUAAGUCUUUAACUUGCCAUAUAGAAACUCAGAAUUUCUGAUACAUGUUCCUGACUGCUUUUGACAUGGUCUUGACAGUUAAAAUCUUUGCUUGUAAUAUAUGGUUUUAUAAGGGCCAUAAUUUAAGACUGCCUGCAGUAGCUGAAUAACAGGUUAAUGCUAAAAUUGACUUUAUUUUUACUCUCCUUACCAUUUAUGAGUGUUGAGGUAAAGUGCAUUAGUACAACAGAAGUACAAAAUCCUAUUUGUUAUAGUACCUCUUAUUCUUGUCUCAAAUUUUCUGUUACCCUGUGCAUCUUGCUUACCUAUGCAGAGAGAUUGAAUAUUUCUAUGUGAAAUAGCUGCACUUUUUUUAUGUGCAAAAUGUCUUGUACUUGACUGCAUGCGCGUGUAUUUCAGUGUUGAGGAAUUAAAGCAUGUUGUAGAACUUCUGAAGAAAACUUGUAAUUAAACAGUUUAAUUUUAAAACACAGUGUGCUGGGCAUAGUAACCAGCACUCAUUAUUUCUGUGUGUUUAAAAACACACAAUAUAAGACAAUAUAAGACAAAGCAAAGUAUUUGGAAUGCUUCUUUUAGUAUUGAAUCAACUGAUUUGGAGAACUGAAGAAGUAUUGGCUUUUGCCUGUAUGACUGAUCUGUGCUAGAGACAUGGCUUUAAACAUUUGCAGCCCUGUAGCUAUGUCCUGUAGCAACACACAGCAUGCUGCAGAACAGCCAAACUAGCAGUUUCUUCUAACAGCUUUUCAUUAAAGGAGAUUUGAAAGAAAUCAGUGUAUCUUUAUGCGCAAGUGGUGGAUGUAACCGGGUCAAGAAGCAG